GCGUUGUGUGACUGCGGAGGAUCAUUAUCGAGUUUUGAAUGGGUUGUCUGCUGGCUCGCAAGGGCAUGUGCACGCCUGUCUCAUCCACUCUCAACUUCUGUGCACUUUUCAUAGGCCGGCUUGUGGGUGCGUUCGCGCACUUGUAGGUGUCGGGCUUAUGCUUUACUACAAACGAUUCAGUUUUAGAAUGUCAUACUUUGCUAUAACGCAAUUAUAUACAACUUUCAGCAACGGAUCUCUUGGCUCUCGCAUCGAUGAAGAACGCAGCGAAAUGCGAUAAGUAAUGUGAAUUGCAGAAUUCAGUGAAUCAUCGAAUCUUUGAACGCACCUUGCGCUCCUUGGUAUUCCGAGGAGCAUGCCUGUUUGAGUCUCAUGGAAUUCUCAACCUUCAGCUUUAUUGAUGAAGGCUUGGACUUGGAGGUCGUGCCGGCUCUCGUAGUCGGCUCCUCUGAAAUGCAUUAGUGCGAACGUUACCAGCCGCUUCAGCGUGAUAAUUAUCUGCGUUGCUGUGGAGGGUAUUCUAGUGUUCACGCUUCUAACCGUCUUCGGACAAAUUUCUGAACUCUGAGCUCAAAUCAGGUAGGACUACCCGCUGAACUUAAGCAUAUCUAAAACCGGAAAGAAAAU
rnacentral:rRNA from 1 species